GCGGGGGUUCCGGAGCGGUCAAACGGGCCGGACUCAAGAUCCGGUGGUUUAGUGCCUUCAAGGGUUCAAAUCCCUUCCCCCGCA
rnacentral:tRNA from 1 species